AGGAUUAUGUCGGCUGUCUACCCCGUGGGAUGCAGACAGAGACCACGAAGUUACAGAGCCCUCUCCAUCUUCACUCCCCCGUUCAGGGCUCCUGGCUGAGCCCCGACUGUGUGUGAAGUCACGCCCUCUGAAGAGGAGCAUUCGCAUCCACAGCUGACCCCCUAUUUUUAAUGGGACAAAUGGAUUCCUUGAAUGAGCCCUUUCUACCAUCCAAGUGUGGGCCAAGACUUCCGCCCAGGCCUCCUGAUUCCCACAAACACAGCAAGAUUAAGAUUAGGUCAUUUUUCUUUUCUUUUUCUUUUUCUUUUUUUUUUUUUUUUUUUUUUUUUUUUUUGACUGAGUCUUGCUCUGUCAUCCAGGAUAGAGUGCAGUGGCACAAUCUUGGCUCACUG
rnacentral:lncRNA from 1 species